CAACAUCAUCAUCUGCAAUGAGUGCUCUAGUUCCAUCCUCAAUUGCAUUGAGUGUUCCAUCUCCAUCUGCAAUAAUUGUUACAUCUUCAGCUGCUACAAGUGAAUUAUUGGUUCAAAAAAAAGUGGAGCUAUGUUUGCGGAUGAAGUGAAAAAAGAUUAAUCUUACAUGAAGUGCCUAUAGACGGCUCUGGCUUACCUUCACGUGGUGUUUAUUGUAAAAAAUGAUUUAUUUAGUUUCAU
rnacentral:misc_RNA from 1 species